rnacentral:sRNA from 1 species
AUAGAUAGAAAAUUUAUAUGGAAUGUGUAGAGCCAAUUGUAUUUUGAUAUGAAUUGGAGAAAUCACAUGAUGUAUAACAGUAUAAUUAGGAAAAAUCUUUCUAUUUGUUUUAAAAAUUCAUGUUCGUAUUUACGACGUUUUAAGUCUUUUGUUCAUAGGGUUUAGAUUCUGGAGAAAUCACUUUUUCGUAAUUACGAAAACUUUAUUUUGUCUGUCGGUUUAAGUUUCUCUUGAUUAGAAGUUGUAUUUUAAGAUGAUUCUACAUAAGUUGUAU